CAGUCGCCACGGUAAUACGUAGGGUGCAAGCGUUAAUCGGAAUUACUGGGCGUAAAGCGUGCGCAGGCGGUUUGUUAAGACAGAUGUGAAAUCCCCGGGCUUAACCUGGGAACUGCAUUUGUGACUGGCAAGCUAGAGUAUGGCAGAGGGGGGUGGAAUUCCGCGUGUAGCAGUGAAAUGCGUAGAUAUGCGGAGGAACACCGAUGGCGAAGGCAGCCCCCUGGGCCAAUACUGACGCUCAUGCACGAAAGCGUGGGGAGCAAACAGGAUUAGAUACCCGCGUAGUCCCUGUCUCUUAUAC
rnacentral:rRNA from 1 species